UGAUAGGGCUUGCAGAGCUUUGUGCUCUGCAACUCCUUUACUAACUCAAACCCUUUUGAUGGAAUGCUUUCUCCUCUGCUGGGAGGUCGUGGCUGUGCGUUCCUAUCGUUCGUGACGUGAAAUCAAUCUACUGCACAGGUAAAUCGUCCAGUAUUCCUCGCCCUUCCGCGUACUCGUUUUGCCACUCCGGCGCACUUCUCAACCUUCUGCUAAGGCCAUCAAAUCACGAGACGAACACCUCCGUCUGUGUUUUUUUUGCGCUGGUGGUGGCCAGCAGCGUUUUGCUUUUAUUUUUUCUGGAGAUCUUGGUCGCAUUCGUUUUGCGACAAUGGAUCGAUGCCCUUGGCGUCGAAGAUCAACGCGAACCGUGAACUCAAGCGCAUAGCUGCCGAGAAUCGCCACUUGUAUGCUCGACUGCUGAGUAAUAUUGAAGCACAGAGCUCAUCGCGGCGUGUUGCUGCUCCUUGCUCCGGCCUUUAUGUCAGCCGCACGCCACCGAAUCGGAAGUACCUUUUCACCGGCAAAGGUGAAGAACACAACCCUCUGUACCAGACGUCCGUUUGCAUUCCGCUCCAUCACCGAUGCCGUUUGACGGUGGCCGAGGCGAGCGCUGCAUCAAGGGAAGAGGCGGAGCUUGGCGCGAUUAUCGAUGCGCUGGCUGUUGCUCCCUCAUCUACGGAGUGGGCAAGGAUCAUGCGGGUGCUCGAUUCCGAUCUAUUCGUCUCGUUUGCAGCACUUUUGACAAACCUGAACGCCUACGCACUCGUGCGAGUGGUGCGUGCGCAGCCUGCGCGAGCUGGUCCCGCUACUUUGCGCGCGCCAUUUGCAUUGGAAACUCGACCGCAGUUCCGUGCCACAGUGGCCGCGGAGCUGGCGUCCAUCGAUGAUGCUGAAGUUGUCUCAAGAAAUCAGAGCGAUAAAAUUGCUGACGGUAAUGUGCCGCUGACGAGGGGUAGUGCUGUUGGCCCCCAAGCUCAAACUCUUGAGAGCCGGCAGCACGCGCGUCAUUAUGAUGUUGGUGUAACAGGCGACUGGGCACCGAGCGCACGUGACGCAAUAAAGCUGGCUCUUUUCAAGUCUCUCGAUGUCUUGCAAGAUCAUGCGGUGGAUGAGUGGCGUGAAGCCGGUCGAGAAGGUGCGUUGCUGUUGAAUGAGCUGGCACGCGGGGGCUGCUGCACGAGUGAAAUGGACGUUUGCGUUCUAAAUUCGGCUUUGCGGUGCGGAAGCGUCUCCCAGAAUCCGUCAUGCACUGCUGUUACUGAAGACGUGGCCUUGCGUUUUCGGUGCGUUGCAGGUUCUGACAGCAUUAGCGUCACUACGACGUCUGUGGAGCGCGCGCCCAAGGAAAGCCAUAUUAGGCCCAGUUGUGCACCACUAGGGAGUGUUAAAGAGAGCGGCUUCGCGGCUGCGAGCUCAGCUCCUUCAGGAGAAGCCGCUGGUCUGGUGGUGUCCGACGAAAUCUGUUUGCCCUUUCCGAUUUCAGCGGUCACGAUCCGGCGCCCUUUUGUCGAUGAAGACGCUUGCAGAAGCAGACCGACACUCAAGGAGCUGCGAUGGCCGCGCCAAUGCAUGACUGGUGCUGCUCUGCUGCUUUUGGCGGCCGCCAAAGCAUCGCUGUACCGCAGUGCGACGCCCACGUGCAGUGCCUUGAUGUUGGACUCCAACGCUGCCCUUGAAGGUGUGUCAGCUGUCUCAGUGUGCUGCAAAUCACCAGUCGUGUCGGCGUUUGAGUGGCCCCGCGCACCGUUCUUUUCCACCUUUUGUAACUCUACGGCGCUGCAGCGGGGGCUCUUCUCACAUGGUGAGCCAUGGGGCGUAGAAUCGAAUACUGCGCAAGAUACCACUGGUUCACCAGCACAAAAUCAGUGGCACUGCCCCGACGUGGUCGCGAUGAUCGCUUCUAUGCGUGCAGCUCUUCAUCUUCCCUUGCGAAGCUAUCCAAAAAUCACGUUCGAGCAAACAGCGUUGCAUGAUCCGGCGCGCCGUAUGCAGGAGCUUGCUCAGGGCCUGUACGGAGAUGUGGACGUUUUGACAAGGGUGCAUGUAUGGUGGGAGACCCCUCGCGACUGCUUCGUAGCAUGCGCCGUGAGUGACCCUGCGCUGCACCACCGAAAUGCGAUUCAGUCUGGUUCCGAGGCAUCAUCCCGUGCAUGGCUCUCGUGCGCAGAUACCGGUUACCCUCGCGGUCCCCUUCUCCUCUUGGUUGCUGCUGUCUGCUCCUUGUACGACCAGAUUGUUAGCCGUGUCGCCACUGCGGCUGCAGAGUGCUAUCCAAUGGUCCCUGUAAAGAAUUCCUUUGCGCGAGGCGGGCUGGACUUCCUCCUUUUUUCGUGGUUUGAGGCGUCGCCGCAGGUGCGCUGCUUCACCAUCGGCUCCACUCCACCAAGCUAUGCGCAGCAGCCGAGGUCCGAGGCGACCUCGCUCCUCAACGGGUCGACGCACCACGAGCUUGGCCCUUCAAUGACGCGUGCGAUGCUCUUCUACGACGUACUGGGGCAACGCGUGCUGUUUGCGGAAACGCACGCCACCAACGCAGAGGACGCUGUGGCACGCAUGAAUUUUCUCUCGGUGGAGCAGAAUAUUCCUAGCCAAGACUUGUACGCGCCACCCUCUACGGUGGCGCAGCGGCCAUUUCGGUCGGUGCCACGGCAGCGCCGGUGGCAGCGCUCCCGUCAGCUGCUGGAGCGCUCCUUGCAGCGGAGCAUCGAUGCCGCCGACGGCACAGGGGCUGACCACUUAGCGAGGUCUAGCCAAUGCGCAGGACAUCAGACGCACAACCGGAUGCUGGUGGCCGCAGCUGUGCGCGCGUGCAUCGGGGCUUGCGCGUCAGAGGCAGGCGCGUUAUGGACAGUGCUGCAGGUUGUUGCGAAAGUCACCGCAACGCGUGCGGGUGCUGCCUCGGAGAGCAGCGGCAUCAACGGUGAAGGGGGUGUACGUGCCCGCCAGCUUCUGUCUGCGCGCCUCUUGGAAGACUCUAGUCCAACUGCUGAGCCGUUUGCAGGACAGGCGGGCAGUGAAGAAGAUCGAGGGUGGUGGACUGGCGGCCACGAUGUCGCGUGGAACUGCCGACCUCUAGGCAAAGAGGCAGCCCCACCUCGUGCAGGUGUGAUGGAGGCGCAACUGUGCAUGGGAACUUCGCUCGGCGCUGCUGCCACGACCGACGGGAAGCCGGCAGCGGCGGCGAGUGUGGAAGUCCUUAUCUUGCGGUGCCGCGUAGACGCGAUGCGAGGCGCGAGCGAGGUGGCCGCGGCUGAGUGGUUGUGCGAGAAACGCGUGACUGAGUCCCUCUCACUUUGCCGCUUGGGCACCGUCACCUUAACGACUGCACAGGCGGUCUCAGGCAUCUUUCCUGCUCUGGCGUUGCUGUGUCGCCGGGCACUCGAGUACAUCUAUUCAGAAGCCCGCUACGCACCGCUAGUGUCGAUCCUCCCACCCAUGAGCGACGUUCUUGCGUGGUGCGCAGCAGCGGCACCAAUGUUUGCCGGUACAGGUGGCGGCUACCUUCCAUACGAGGCGCGCUUCUACGCGGCCCCAAAGCUGCUCGGUGAGCUGCUGCAAGGUGCUGCGGGGAAGUACAGGUGCAGCUACAACAUUCCGUCCCCGCGUGGCCGUGUAAAGAGUGCCGCAUCUGGUGCUGACCGGGGCGAGGGCUGCGCAGAGGUGGAGAGAGAGAGAGGAGAGGCAGCGCAGCCGUCGACGAUCUUCUACACCUCAAAGCCCAUUCACGUCGAUACGGCGGCCAACGGGGACGCAACACGGCAGCAGCAUGGUAGUCGCCUCGCCAAACCACCUGCCGUGGCAUGCACGCUUUACCUUGAGAGCCUGCUGGGGAAUGGGGCGUCUCCAUCAGCGGCUGCUGUCUCGCCGACGUGCCCUUCUCCGGUGGCGAUUCCGUUUAUUCUAGGACAUGGCGUGGGCCGGACGAAGCGGGAGGCAUGGCGAUCAGCUGCUUGGCAGGCAGUGCGCCUCCAGUUUCCUGCGGUGUUGGCACAGCUGGAGGCGUACCGCGACGUGUCGGAGUUGCUGCAGCGGCCAGCGCAGCUGAACCAGCUUGUGCGCAGCAGCGGGCUGGAUCGGAACAGCGUCUGGGGUGGAGUUGCUCCUGUCGUUUACAAGCUGAACUUUGACUGCUCGGUGCUCUUCCCUUCCUCCGUAAGAAAUGCAGCGACAGAGGUGGCCGCUUCUGCGUCAGUUCAGGCAGUGCGCCAGUCGCAGUGCGGGGUGACAGCCGUAAGGACAGACGGCUCCAAGCUGUGCGUCGUCCCCGGCUGCAGAGCCACUGCUGCCUCUUCAGGGGAGGCCUACACAGCCGCCGUCGCUGUCGUUCUCCGUGCGGUGCGUGGCGCUGCGCAGGAGGCUGCAGCGCACAUGACAAGUGCCACCAUGGGGACAACAGCGAGUCGAACGGGAUGGGCGGCUAUGCCGCCCUCGUCUCCCGGCUCUGUUAGCGGUGCGGCCCGCAGCCCGGACUCCUGCCCCUACGCGGCGUGGCGUGACACGACGCACUAUGGGAAGAGCAUAUGGCACGCCUACGCGGGGGCGCUGAGCGCUUACCUCGACAGUGAUGUGGUGGUUCAUCCCGUCGCCGCAGAGGAUAUCAGCGUCGACGAGUUGGGCUCGCUGUCGCGUGGGGCGGGAAGCGGGAGGAGGCUCAGCCGUCGGGUGGUGCUGUCAAAGGUGCAGGUGCGCAUGCGCGACGGGCGUAUUGGAGCAGCUACCGCGGCUGGUAACGUUUCCCUCGGUUUCACCGACCAGCAAUCUCGGGCAUCUCGCAGGAUCACCUCCUUUGGAGCAUUCUCUGUUGCUGCAGGUUGCGGUGCCAUCAACGCCAAUGUCGGUGACGGUGCGGACGGCAUCCUGUUUGAAUGCACGGCUGCUUCUCUCUUUACUCGUCGCUGGCUGCCGCUUGACACUGCGGCGAACGGCACGCGUGUCGGCGCGGUCGCUGCAGCGGCACCACUACCCCGUGAGAAUCCUUCCCGCCUUCUGCAGGAGAUCACCCGGUGGCUCAGUGACAUAACACAAGAGUGUGGGCUGCCGCUCGCGGUGCGUGAGGAGCUGCGAGGACUCUUGUGUGCCCGCGCCUGUGACUUGGCGCGCAUUCAAGACAGCUAUCGAUCGACGCCUGCGGAACGGGUGGAGGCGUUGCUGAUGCGGUGGGUGGGGCGCCGCGCACAGGUGCGCAUUCGCCGCAUAAACUCCAGUGUGGUCGCGUAUCCGUCUUUGGCGAAUCAGAUGGUGUGGGUGGCGGAGGCUUUAGUAGAGAUUCAAGCGGAGCGCCGGCGUUCAGGCUCGCCAUCUUCUUCGCAUGCUGGCUUACCUCUGGAUGGCAACGUUCUACAACUGCUAGAUCAAGACGGUGAACUCAAGUCAUGUGCAGGUACAAGGGAACAUCUUGAUCGUCCUUGGGUGGCGGCGCGCGCUGUCGGCGUCACGAGCAACGAGGCCGCCUGGCAGCUAUAUCGACACGUUUGCGAUGCACUCCGCGAUGUGGUGGCAACGGAGCCGUCCCCACGAUCCGUGGAGAAGCGGUGGCGGCAAUGAGAGAGAGCAGAGGCGUUGCACUACGAUCGGUGUCGCGUGAACUUGCCGUUGGUGCUUCAGCGUGAGUGAGGAGCACUGCGUCUUACCCUUGCCUUUCACCAAGCGCGCUUCGUUCGCGCGCCGUUGUGAGUUGCACCGGCCUGCACUGGAGGACG
rnacentral:misc_RNA from 1 species